GCUGGCGGCGUGCUUACACAUGCAAGUCGAACGAUGAUGGCCGUGCUUGCACGGCUGGAUUAGUGGCGAACGGGUGAGUAACACGUGAGUAACCUGCCCUCCACUUCGGGAUAACCUCGGGAAAUCGGGGCUAAUACCGGAUAUGAGCACCUACUGCAUGGUGGGUGUUGGAAAGUUUUUCGGUGGGGGAUGGACUCGCGGCCUAUCAGCUUGUUGGUGAGGUAGUGGCUCACCAAGGCGUUGACGGGUAGCCGGCCUGAGAGGGCGACCGGCCACACUGGGACUGAGACACGGCCCAGACUCCUACGGGAGGCAGCAGUGGGGAAUAUUGCACAAUGGGCGAAAGCCUGAUGCAGCGACGCCGCGUGAGGGAUGACGGCCUUCGGGUUGUAAACCUCUUUCAGCAGGGAAGAAGCGAGAGUGACGGUACCUGCAGAAGAAGCGCCGGCUAACUACGUGCCAGCAGCCGCGGUAAUACGUAGGGCGCAAGCGUUGUCCGGAAUUAUUGGGCGUAAAGAGCUUGUAGGUGGCUUGUCGCGUCUGCCGUGAAAACCCGAGGCUCAACCUCGGGCGUGCGGUGGGUACGGGCAGGCUAGAGUGUGGUAGGGGAGACUGGAACUCCUGGUGUAGCGGUGAAAUGCGCAGAUAUCAGGAAGAACACCGAUGGCGAAGGCAGGUCUCUGGGCCAUUACUGACACUGAGAAGCGAAAGCAUGGGGAGCGAACAGGAUUAGAUACCCUGGUAGUCCAUGCCGUAAACGUUGGGCACUAGGUGUGGGGGACAUUCCACGUUUUCCGCGCCGUAGCUAACGCAUUAAGUGCCCCGCCUGGGGGAGUACGGCCGCAAGGCUAAAACUCAAAGGAAUUGACGGGGGCCCGCACAAGCGGCGGAGCAUGCGGAUUAAUUCGAUGCAACGCGAAGAACCUUACCAAGGCUUGACAUGCACCGGACAGCUGCAGAAAUGUGCCUUCUUUGGACUGGUGCACAGUGGUGCAUGGUU
rnacentral:rRNA from 1 species